rnacentral:misc_RNA from 1 species
GAUGAAGAACGUAGUGAAAUGCGAUACUUGGUGUGAAUUGCAGAAUCCCGUGAACCAUCGAGUCUUUGAACGCAAGUUGCGCCCGAAGCCAUCAGGUUGAGGGCACGUCUGCCUGGGCGUCACAUAUCGUUGCCUGAUGCCAGUUUCCUCGUGAUGGGUGACUGUGCAGGGCGAAUGAUGGCUUCCCGUGAGCAUUGUUGCCUCAUGGUUGGUUGAAAAUUGAGUCCUUGGUAGGGAGCGCCGUGAUAGAUGGUGGUUGAGUGACGAACGAGACCCAAUCAUGUGAGACCCCUACCGAAUUUGGCCUUCAUGACCCACAUGCGUCUUUGGAACGCUCAUGACGAGACCUCAGGUCAGGCGGGGCUACCCGCUGAGUUUAAGCAUAUCAAUAAGCGGAGGA